GUGACAAUUUGUAUAGCUUGGUUAAGGUGGUGUCUGCUAGAUUUCCUCAAUGUAUUGCCAGAAGGGAAAAAAGUGGGGAGAAAAAAGAUAAUUGAUUUCUCCACUGUAAUUUUUCAAAGGGGUCAUGGAGGAAAACUGACAAGAAUUGUAUUUUGGAAGAAGAAUCUCCAAAAUACAAUUGGGGAGAAUCUCUGUCCUGCCUCUUGCCUCCAAGAUACAUGGCAAAUGGGGGUGUUAGUGGCCUGCAAGUGGAGGUUUAUUCCAGGUUCUUGGUGACUACUGGGAGAAAAGAAUUUCAGGAUGCACCACACAAAUCAAGCAAGUGCCAGCUUUUUAAAAAUUGAAAUCUAAAGUACACUCUCGAAAGAGAGCGGGCAGGCAGGCUCAAAAAGAGCAGCUGUAUAGCGACAAUAACAAGAGGAGGGGAAAAAAAGCAGCUGCACUGGAAAGUUUUUGAUCUUUUAAAGUCUUACUAUAAUAAUUGAAGGGAGGAAUAUUCAAGGCUAAGGGAGUGGCUUUUACUAAGAAUUUGGGUAGUUAAUUUCUAGAAUUGGGUUCACUCUCCAUUUUCAUACUUUAUAUGGUUGUUUGGAAUGGUCAUGGUGAUUUCAAGGGCAGAGAAAUUUUAAGACUGCAAUGUAAAUGAUAUUGUAAUUAGCCAGAGUUCGUGUAUGGUGACAGAGAUAGCUGACAAACCAGUUGAGGCUGGUUCUUGUCUGUGGUUAUCAGCUGUCUACUUAUAACAUCUGCACCCAAUCUUCAAGCCUUUGAAUCCAGUCUCAGCCCUGUCUCCUCGUCUCCUACUCUGGGAAAAACUAGAAUACCAGAGAGUUUACUGCUGACAGAAUCUGAUUAAAGAGGGCCCAGGUAGAAGAAAUGAAAGAUUGAGUCAGAUUAGGUGGGUAUUGGGAAGCACAGGUAAGAGACCAUGGCGGCUUGGACCGCUGGUGGUGGCUGAGGUGAAGGGGUUGAGGCUUGAUGAGAUUAGGCUGGUCGUCUCUUAGGCUUGUUCCUCUACGUGUGUUUCUGGGAGCAGUAGGAUCUCCUUUCCUGAGAGUUCAUUAGACAUGUAGAAUUCAGGCCCUACCUCAGACUUUCUGAGCAAAUUUACAAUUUUAACAAGAUCUCCAGGUGAUUUGUAAGCAUCUUAAAGUUUUAAAAGCACUGUCUUAAGAGAAUUGUGAGCCAACUCUUUAAGAGGCAGCUAUGCUGCUGGCAUGUCACUAAUGUCAACAGCCUAUGUGCCAGUGCCGAGUAUAGCAUCAGUGAGGCAAGCGAUCUGCCGUUCUUGGGCCACGGGGUAGGUACCUUCUGAUUCUGCAUUUCCUGAUGCUGAGAGACGUAGCACCUUCCUUGGUGGUUGUACAGUGUGGUUUGGCACUCGUUCCUGGAAGCUCAGUGCACACCCUGUUUCUGUAACCCUUGCAAUGAUUCUGUGAGCUCUACAUACCCACAAACAAAUCUCUUUCUACUUAAAACCACCUGCACUGGAUUCUGUUAUCUGCAACUAAGAACUUUGACCACUAUGCUUCCUGUCUCAGAGUGGGUAAGACACGGCAACACAUCAUGAUUAGAUGAAGUUGGAAGCAACCUAGGGGUGCGCCUUGGUUGAUUCUCUCCUAACGGGACCACAGACAAGGCAAUUAUGAGAGAUGGGAUCUAGCAACGUCAUGGGAAGGAGACAAUUGGAUUCUAUUGAUGAACUGCCCUCACUCCCGUGGCUGCCUCCACAUGUGACUUUCUCAAGGAUCAACGCUGUUUAUACUGCACAAUGAGGUCUUUUUUAUAAACAGAAUUCCACAAACUCCUCUGGCAACAGGACCUCAGUUUCCAAUGUUUCACAAGUCUUAGAGUGAGGAAAUUUCGUGGAAAUCUUCAGAAAAUAAGCUAUAAUCCAUGGUACACUUCCAAGCAUGUGCACAAGGCAAGCUUCCUUCAGGGUGCCAGGACGUGCACCAUGAGGAGAGCCAAGUAUUAAAGAAUGCUUCUCUGCGUCAAUGAACUCAAUAAAUGCGAAUUCUCAGCCCAGCAGAUGGAAUGUUUUAAGGGAAAGAAGAAAACUUCUGAAAAUGAAACUCAAGAAGCUGCAUGUACUUUGCUUCAAAGUUGCAGGGACUCCCUGAAGUUAGGAGCGGGGUGACAGCUCUCAGGGACUUAGGGGACCGUGUGAGUGCCCCGCAGCUAGUGCAGAAGCCCUGCCUCGACUCCAGUGCCUUGCGUGGAACAAGUUUGCCUUUCAAGACACUAGGGUGCUUUAGAAUGCCUUAGAAUUCAUCACAUGGCUUCAAUGUAGACUCCUGGUGUUGCUUUCACAAAUGACCCCAAGCUUUCACAAGAUGAGAGCUGUGUUUGCUUGUGUAGUGUUGCCUUCUUCACGAUGUCCUCACUGUGACAUAAACACAGGAUUUGGAGUCAGGAGGUCUGGAUUUGAGUCUUGGAUCUGCCACUUAUUGGCAGGGGAGGCCUUUGUCAAGUUGUUUAACUUCUCAGAGCCUCAAUUUUCUCAGCUGUGGAAAGGGGGUGAUAUUAGUAACAGUAUUAUUGAGGGAUAAGUGAAAUGAAUGUUUUAUCCUAUAGGAGGACAUAUAAUAGAUACUGUAUAAAGGAUUAUCUUUCCUUUCUGUUUUUCAGUGAGCUAGGAUAAUAGAGUAAGACAAGUGGCUAACCAAACAAACUCACUAUCUGAUAUAACCAGCCGUAUUCCCACAUACAUCAGUGUCCAUGAACUUGUCCUCCAAGUCCUCAUUGGUUGGAACUUGUUUUAUACUUACGGAGAAGGAUUUGAGAGAAGAGGUUUUGGUUAUAUGUUAGGAGCAGAAGGCGACAGUAGCCGAGGAGCGUCUGUUUCAAGCGUUUUGAUGGAAGCACAGCACCACCGACUGUGGGAAACCAUGGCCCCUGUGCAGGCAGUGUUGUAAAGCAAUUCUGCUUUUGAUCUCUCCUUUUCCCUGAGCACUCCACUGCGCCCUUGGGGCUGUCCCCAUACCGCUAUUGCUUCUUGAGGGUCUAUGCCUUCCACUGGUGUCCUAAUUAGACCCUGGCUUCCCUCAGUAAAAGCCGCAAGAACAACCCACUCCCCCUUCAUAGAAAUGCCUUUUGUCUCUUUCUCUCAAGGGCUUACUCUGUUUUCUAGACUAGUCCAUGGAAUACAUAUUGGCACAGUUUAGCCCAGCAAGUGAGGAGGGGCCCGUGUUUCUCCCAGUUUCCCUCUCUGCUUUCCAACAGAUGCCCUCCGUGGUCUCAAGCAAGUUGAAGGCAAGAUGGCAAACAAGUAGAGAAGGAAGUCUCUGAAGAUCUGUCAUCUUGUCUGCUCUUAAAUUUCAACAUUUAAAUGACUUUUCUGUGAUUUUCUGUGCAGUGGUCAUUGGGAAUAGAAGAAAGAGGAAGAAAACUUGGGGCGUUUGAGUUGUUUGGCCUGAUCAGCUUCUCUGCUCAAUAAGCUAUGGAGUACUUGUGGCAUGAAGAAGCUACCUAAAGAGCUUCUAAAAUGAAGAUGCCUGUUCUCAUCCCAAGGAAAAUAAAAUAGACCAACAUUUGCAUGUGGUUAA